rnacentral:rRNA from 1 species
UUCUUUGGUUAACACUGGCUUGUCAAUGCCUGAUCUUGUUUAAUCUGAGAAGCUAAACAAGGCCGGGCCUGGUUAGAACGUGAAUGGGAGACCGCUGGGUAUGCCGUGGGCUAGAGUGG